rnacentral:rRNA from 1 species
UACGGGGGGGGCAAGCGUUGUUCGGAAUUAUUGGGCGUAAAGAGCGUGUAGGCGGUUCGGUAAGUCUGCCGUGAAAACCUGAGGCUCAACCUCGGGCGUGCGGUGGAUACUGCCGGGCUAGAGGACGGUAGAGGCGAGUGGAAUUCCCGGUGUAGCGGUGAAAUGCGCAGAUAUCGGGAGGAACACCAGCGGCGAAGGCGGCAAACUGGAUAGGCACUGACACUCAACAACGAAAGCGUGGGGAGCAAACAGG